GGGGUUGUAGCUCAGUGGAAGAGCACUUGCCUGGCAUGUGUGAGGCACUGGGUUCAAUUCUCAGCACCA
rnacentral:tRNA from 1 species